CAGCAACUGCCAAUUCCCUUCGGCUCGUGGUGUAUCUCAUUAGCUUUGAGCGAAGAAAGACUUAUGCAUGUAUGAGGUCACUACAGGUUCAAUCAUGAAGACUGCUGCAUGGCACAAAAGAGGUUGGUCAUACUGAUCAAAAAUUGGAGAAAAUAAAAGAACAAAUAGUGUGACUCAUCGAAUCUCCAUGGUAUCAAGGCUCCUCAAACAAUGAAACCUUUCUGAUGUUUAUUAUUCCAAAUGGAUGUUAACAUUUACUUAAUAUGGAAAACUCAUGUAUUAGUCACACAGUUUGAUGGUUAUAAAUGGAAAAGGCUUCAGAAUAUAUUUGCUACAGAAAAUUAACAUAAUACAAAUGGUGUAACAAUCCUGGCCAUGAAAAGGUUUCCAUUUGAAAUAGUGCCGUACAAAGAAAACCAAAAGGAGAGGUUUGUUAUGCAGAAUAUAAGAAUUAAUUAAAUUGUUAGGUUUGGUAUCAGCAUAUGGUCCUUAUGGUGAAAUUCAUUCUUCCUGUGCCAUCUAUUUAAUGUAUUGUCAUCCUUUGGUAGACAUGACUACAUAUUACCUGGAGACUGGAAUGCUACACUGGGUUCAUAACAGAACAGACCUGGUUCAGAUAUUACACCAAAAAUAGAAAUUCAUUGUUUCCUAUGGUACUAAUUAAUGUGAGUGACUUGUUUGUUCCAUAUACGUCUUUAUUCUUGAGAGUAAGGUGUAUGAUUUAUUUUCUCCUCCCUAUAAACCAUUGUCUAGGAUGACACAAAAAAUAUAGCCCAUUAAAUAUGUUGUGCUACCAGCAUCAGAUACUCCCUUGGGUACUGAAGCACACAUACACAUGUGCAUACAUUCAAACACAUGCACUGUGUGUGCACAUGUGUAUGUAAGGCACUGUGUUUGUGUGUGCAAACCCUUCCCAAGUACAAAACUGUAAACGGAUUACACCACAUGCCAGUUAUGAGACCUGCUCCAACAUAGGAUGACUACACAGUGAGUACAUGUUUAGUUCAGAGGUAGGGAAUAGUCCCCACAAGACAUGGCAGUGUUUUUCUACUUCAGAGGUUUGGAGUACUGUGACAAAAAUGCUAAAUAUGUGCAGUGCAAAUGGCCUAAUACUUAAGGCAUUGCUAGGCUUUGUCCUACAUUCACUACU